rnacentral:rRNA from 1 species
AUGGCGUUCACACUGCAGGAGCAGUUUGAUGCUUACGUCGAUUUGAUGGUGGGGGUGAAGGACCAUGAGGAGAUGAUGAUGAAGGACGACGAGGCCGCGGAGAGAAGGAAUAAAGGUCUCGCCCCUAAGAAGAAGAAGAAGAGCGCCAAGAAGGCGGCGGAUUUGGAGUGGGCGAGGAAGAGUUUGGAAGCAGAGAGGGCCAAGGUCGGGGGCAGCAUCAGGCCCGAGACGACGACCAAGGAAGAGAAGGCGAAAGUCAAUCUAGGGUUUUCUCGCGUUAGCAGAGAGGGGAUGGCGUUGACGCAGGAGCAGCUGGAUGCUUGCAUCGAUUUGAUAUUCGAGGAGAGGGAUGAGGUGGCGACCAAGGGCGAUGAAGCGGCGGAGGAGGCGGAGAGAAGGAAGAGAGGUCUCGCCCCCAAAACGGAGAAGGCGGCGGCGGCGGCGGGAGUAAGUACGAAGAAGGCGGCGGCUUUGGAGUGGGCGAGGAAGAUGUUGGAAGAUGAGAGUGUCAAUGACGGAAAAUGUUGGGAGCCGAGGGCGAUGACCAAGGAAGACCUCGCGGCAGCGGCCGUGUACAGAGCCAAGGCGGAGGAGGCGCGCAGGAACCAUGAGCGGAGGGAGCAGCAUGAUGCCGUGACCAAGUGGAUCGCCACGGGAGACCCUGAGGCCGUCGAGCGCUGCAACCAGUGGAUGGAGGAAGACAUUGAGGCCAUGAGGCUCAAGGACAUCGAUCCCACCGAGGAUCUCUCGGACUGGGAGGCCGUCGAAGCCAAGAGGUACCGGGAAUUCUGGGAAUUUCUAUGGGCCGACUCCUUCGGUUCCUGGGAGGACACCACACCUAUCCUGCCCAUGCGUUACACGGACGAGAAGCCUCCGCGCGGUACGGCCUACCCUGUGCGAACUCUGCAGGUCUUUUCGGUCAGAGUUGCAGCCAUCAAAGGUGGAUUGGACUGGCCUCUGGAUGUGUAUGGUAUCGUUGCCGCACGUGACUCGUUGGAUCACAAUCGCAACAUUAUCUUCCACCGCACUAGGGAUAACUGCCAAACCAUCGACAAGAAGAAUCCAUGUCUGAGACUGACAGGUCCAACCCGCGCUGUUGUUGUUGUGGAUCCUGUGUACUUUGAGGUUAACUUGCGAGUAAAGGGCAAAACUGAAUCUGAGGAUAGAGAUUUGAGUUAUGUGGCUGUUUAUUAUCGUGAUUCUGGCACUAGCGAAUCGUACGCGUUUAAAAAUGUCAGCACUAGCAAGCUUAGCACAGUGGCACUGAUGUUGGGUGAUAUUGUUCAUUCAGUGGAGGCCACCAUCAGUGUGAGAGUGGUUUGUGGCGAAUGGCCGGAAGGUUGUAGAGGUCUAAUUUUUGCCAGUACCGCCAGUAUCGACGCCCAGAAAAUUGAGUUGCUUGCGUUCGGAGAUGACAAGUUGCCUGUUGCAGCUAAUGGCAUGAUAAAGCUUUCACGGCGUGUUGUAUCUGUUGAAGCCGAUGGAGAGUUGAGAGUCUGUGUCAUGGCAAGUAGCCUGGAGGAUCAAACUGUUGAGAGAGAUUCAGAAGCAUUCAAAGCCAAGAAAGCCUCCAGGAGCAGGCGUAUACUUGAAGUUCACUCUUGUAAGUUGGAAGUCACCAUCGCAUGGUCUUUUGUCCCGAACUAG